UCACUUGAAGAAUCAUCCAAUGUCUUGAUGGUUAUGAGGACUUUCCUUUUCCUCUCCUUCCCUUCUUUUUUUAAACUAAAAUUGUGGGGAAAGAAACCUCUGAGCAGAUUUGAUUAAAUAAUGCACCCAAGCAACACCAAAGGAAAACAAAUACCAACCAUUAAGAAGAUGGCCACACCCCAACACACAUAAGGGAAAAAAGAAACAAGAGAGAAAGGAAAAAAAACUAAACUAGACCAAACUUAGCUAAAAACAAAACAAAGUAGAACUAAACU
rnacentral:lncRNA from 1 species